UGAACCUUUCCUACAAAAUCC
rnacentral:siRNA from 1 species